ensembl:lincRNA
GGUGCAGACGCCUGGACUACAACUCCCAGGGAUCCUGGUGCCGGCUCGCGCACGCCUCCUGCAGGCGCGGUGCGGGGAGGCGUCGGUGUGACUGCUGGACCUUUCGCCCCGCAUCUGUGAGCUCGGAGACGCUGUGGCUGCGGGCAGUUGCUGCGUCGGGAACCAGGGGGGAGCUGAGCCUGGCUGGUUUGUGAUCAGCACUGCCUCCAGCCUCAGACAGUCUGUAGUGUGCUCUAGUCACUUGGUGACAAGGACUGUGGUGGAAGUCAACCUGACCACGGACUGUUGCUCAAGAGAGCCAGUAGUGAAGACACGCUCAAUAAGCCUGGAAGUACUUCUUCAUCAGGGAUAGUGCGGCUGAAAAAGACUGCGACAGCUGGAGCCAUCUCUGAGCUUACCGAGAGCCGCCUGAGGACCACUGCAGGUAGGAGACCCAGGUGGCUAUUCAUCUUGGCUAUGUGGAAGCAUGUCAGCAAUUCAUACGUACCUCCCUUCAUCAUUUACUUAUUGAGCACUUACCCUGUGUCAGGAAGUGUUUUAGGCAGUGUCCUUGCCACAGAGAGUUUACAGCCUGUGCUAUGAUUACUCUGUCCCCUCAGAAGGUCACUUGUCACCGUGUGUGAAAUCCUUUUGGGAUCCAGGCAAUGUGAUGAUGUAUGUUCUGGGGUCAUCUUGGUACGAAAUGUGUUUGUGCAUGAACAUAAGAUAGCUAAGCUUUUUGUGAUCUCACUGUUAAAAUGCAGCCUCCAACAGAGUGUUAAAUUGUCUAAAAUGGGAAAAUGAAUGUAUCAUUAUUAACCAGUGAUGGUGUUGAAUAUUGGUAUAUUUAAGAUUUUUGUGCCCUUGUCAUAAAACAUAACACUGCACACUACUUUUCCAAAGGCAUGUUUCAAUUUUACCGUAUUCAGUUUUCAAAAAGUUGAAUCUUUGAAGGCUAUAUGUGGCUUUAGGAGUGAAGGGGAAGGGCCUGGUGUUUCCGUAUAAUAGCUUUACUGUUUUAAGGAGCAAUUUCAUACUAAAAAUACAUACACAUUUGGUUUUAAAAUAUAACAAAUGAAAGUACAACUUAUAUUUGUCAAGUCAGCCUAAAACUGAUUCCAAAAGUUAAUGAAGCAUUACCCAAAAAAAUGACAGAGGAGUCUUAUUCUCAAAUAUUAAUGCAAAAAUGUGAGAUCAAAAUCUUAGCAAGUGGAAUUUAAAAAGAAAUAAAAGAGCCAGGCAUGGUAGCGCAUGCCUGUAAUCCCAGCACUCGGGAGGUUGAGGCAGGAGGAUCGCUGUGAGUUCAAGACCAGCCUGAGCUACAUAGUGAGUUCCAGGUCAGUCUCAACUACAUAGUGAGACCCUGUCUCAAAAAACCAAAAAAGAAAGAAAGAAAGAAAGAAAAGAACAGAAGUCUACAUCACAACCAAAGUGGAGUUAUGCCACCCACGAAUGAAUGACUGUUAGGAAAUCUGAAUAUAAUACUAAUAUAUAGUAUUAACAGGCCACAGGAGAAAAACCACAUGGUCGCUUUGAUAGAUAUGGAAGAUGUACUUGUCACAGUUAGCAAACUUCCUGACUUCAUCAUAAACUCUUGAUAAAUUCUAAAUGUAUAGAUACUGCUUUGAUGAUAUAAAUAGAUUUAUCUUGUGAAGUGCAGUGGUGUACACUUAGAAUCCCAGCUACUUGGAGGCUGAGACAGGAAGAUUAUGUGAACCGAGGAGUUUGAGGCCAGUCUGGGAAACACAGUGAGACCCUAUCUCAGAAUAAAUAAAUAAAUAAAAACUUCCUUUCUUAUCAGUGACUAGUUAGAAAAUAUGAUAAUGUAAGAAAUAGUCCCAUCUAUGAAAGCAUGAAAAGGAAUAAACUUAAUAGUUCAUGAAUAGGAAUAAACUUAAUAGUUCAAGAAACAAUAUAUUUAAAAAAAUCUUAAAAUCCUUUGGAGGACAGGUUUGUCUUUUAAAGAAGCCAUAAAUAAGUGGAAUGAUGGAAUACAUGGUUUUUGGAUGGAAAGAUUAUAAAACAAAUGUGAUAGUAUAACAUACUAAAUAAAAUAGGGAUGCCUAAAUUAUUCUGUGAUUUAAUUUUCAUUAUAAUUAAAAUAUCAGUGAGAACUCAGGGGUGGAAACAUGGAUAAAACAAUACGAGGGUUUUCUAAACAUCCAUUCUCCCUGGGGG